GCCCUGGUAGCUCAGCGGACAGAGCAGCACACUACGGAUGUGCGUUGUCGGGAGUUCGAAUCUCUCCCAGGGUG
rnacentral:tRNA from 1 species